rnacentral:rRNA from 1 species
GACGAACGCUGGCGGCGUGCUUAACACAUGCAAGUCGAACGGAAAGGCCCCUUUGGGGGUACUCGAGUGGCGAACGGGUGAGUAACACGUGAGUAACCUGCCCUUGACUUCGGGAUAACUUCAGGAAACUGGGGCUAAUACCGGAUAGGAAUCCUUGCUGCAUGGUGGGGGUUGGAAAGCUUCGGCGGUUUUGGAUGGACUCGCGGCUUAUCAGCUUGUUGGUGGGGUAGUGGCUUACCAAGGCUUUGACGGGUAGCCGGCCUGAGAGGGCGACCGGCCACAUUGGGACUGAGAUACGGCACAGACUCCUACGGGAGGAAGCAGGGGGGAAUAUUGCACAAUGGGCGGAAGCCUGAUGCAGCAACGCCGCGUGCGGGAUGACGGCCUUCGGGUUGUAAACCGCUUUCAGCAGGGGCGAAGCUUGUGGUGACGGUACCUGCAGAAGAAGCACCGGCUAACUACGUG